rnacentral:rRNA from 1 species
GAUGAACGCUAGCGGCAGGCUUAACACAUGCAAGUCGAGGGGCAGCGCGAUGUAGCAAUACAUUGGCGGCGACCGGCGCACGGGUGCGUAACACGUAUGGAACUUACCCUUUACUGGGAGAUAGCCCGGAGAAAUCCGGAUUAAUAUCCCAUAAUAAACGAAGUGGCAUCACUUUGUUUUGAAAGCUCCGGCGGUAAAGGAUGGCCAUGCGCACGAUUAGCUAGUAGGUGAGGUAACGGCUCACCUAGGCUACGAUCGUUAGGGGGCCUGAGAGGGUUAUCCCCCACACUGGUACUGAGACACGGACCAGACUCCUACGGGAGGCAGCAGUGAGGAAUAUUGCGCAAUGGAGGCAACUCUGACGCAGCCAUGCCGCGUGCAGGAAGACUGCCCUAUGGGUUGUAAACUGCUUUUAUACGGGAAGAACACCCCUCGUGAGGGGGCUUGACGGUACCGUAAGAAUAAGGAUCGGCUAACUCCGUGCCAGCAGCCGCGGUAAAGU